rnacentral:rRNA from 1 species
GAUGAACGCUGGCGGCGUGCCUAAUACAUGCAAGUCGAGCGAAGCGGGGACGGGUGAGUAACACGUGGAUAACCUCCUAUAAGACUGGGAUAACUUCGGGAAACCGGAGCUAAACCGGAUACUUAUAGAUGGAUCCGCGCUGCAUUAGCUAGUUGGUAAGGUAACGGCUUACCAAGGCAACGAUGCAUAGCCGACCUGAGAGGGUGAUCGGCCACACUGGGACUGAGACACGGUCCAGACUCCAACGGCAGGGAGCAGGAGGGAAGCUUCGACCAUGUGAGAAGGCCUGACGGGGCGCCGCCGCGUAAGUCACGACUGUCUCCGGAUCGUAAACCUCUGUCAUUAGGGAAGCGGUAGCUAGGCAGAAAGCCACGUCUAAAUACGGGCCAGCAGCCGCGGUAAUAC